AUGGCUCGCAAGAAGAUUGCCCUCCAGUACAUCAAGAAUAAGUCGAGCCGGCGCCGUACCUUGGAUACGCGCAUGAAGAACCUGGCAAGUAAGGCACGCGAGCUUUCUAUUCUAUGCAACGCCAAGGCCUGCGUGUUGGUGUACGAUGAGGGAAAUGCGGCGCCAAAGGUGUACCCAUCGCACGCCGAGGCGGCGGAUCUCCUGAAUAGGUACAGAACCAUGGCAGAGGGGCGGUUCAAGAAGACGGUGAACCAGGAAGACUUCCUCAGCCAGCGCCUCAGCAAGCUCCAGGUCGAGGAAAACAAGGUACGAGACCCCGAGAUCAGGAUCCUGCUACACAAGGCCAUGCUCGGCAGCGACCUCCCCGAUCUCAAAGUCGAUGAGCUCACCAUCGUCAGUAGUAGACUGGAGGAGAUCCUCAAGAGCAUGGGCGAAAGCAUCGCUAAAAUUAGCGGACAACCCCCUGUCUUGCAGCCCCAGGUACCAUACAUCCCUGACAACGUGGACAUGGGCGGGUCUUCGGCAAUGUAUCAAGCGUCCCAGCCAGCUCCGUACGUCACCAACAACAUGGACAUGGGGCCUUUCGCCAUGAAUCAGCAGCCGUCGCCCACUCCAUACGUCACUGGCAGCAUGCACGUGGGGUCUCCAAUGAUGUAUCAGGUGCCGCCACAGCAUGAGGGUUGGCUCGACAAGGUGAGAUCUGGAAGGGACCUCGACGCCCUGGCCCACAAUGGCUAUAACAGCGCUGGGCAUGACGGCGCCAACACCAGCACCGGCGCCGGCUAUAGCACCAAUGGGCACGACGGCGCCGGUACCAGCGCCAACGCCGGCUCUUCCGGUGGGAUGAAGUCCUUGGAUGUGGGGUUUGGUUGGCAAUCGGGCGGCGUCGAUCCUGAAGAAUCAUCUUGGAGUCUUUUCCCUCCCAUGUAA
rnacentral:rRNA from 1 species